GUGCGAAGGGGGCUCUUGCAGGCGGAGGACAUGGUGGAAUGGUGAAGAGGCGGUAUGGUAGCCGUUGGUGUAUGGCUGGGCAGAAUUUGGAAACCCUAGUUUUGGUUUUUACGGGAAACCAGGAUUAGGAAACUCUAAUUUUGGCUCUUACCGGAAAUCCAGUAUUAGGAGAACCUAAUUUGGGUGUCUUACAGGAAACCAUGGUUUCCGAUCCCGCCCAUGCCGUGUACCCAUGGCUUCUAUCCCCUUUUCAUAACCCACUUAAGUUUCCCGAUCCCGCCCUUGCCGUUUACGCAC
rnacentral:pre_miRNA from 1 species